rnacentral:hammerhead_ribozyme from 1 species
GUACCGAUGAAGAGUCCCAAACUAGGACGAGACAGCUGUCCAGUAC